CGCACGGGUGAGUAACGCGUAAGUAAUCUACCCUGGCAUCUGGGAUAACCCACCGAAAGGUGAGCUAAUACCUGAUACGUUGAUUUAUCAAGAAAGGUGGCCUCUUCAUGAAAGCUACUGUGCUGGGAGGAGCUUGCGUACCAUUAGCUAGUUGGUAGGGUAAAGGCCUACCAAGGCGACGAUGGUUAGCGGGUCUAAGAGGAUGAUCCGCCACACUGGAACUGGAACACGGACCAG
rnacentral:rRNA from 1 species